UUUUAUGAGAGUUUGAUCCUGGCUCAGGACGAACGCUGGCGGCGUGCCUAAUACAUGCAAGUCGAACGCAUUUUCUUUCACCGUAGCUUGCUACACCGGAAGAAAAUGAGUGGCGAACGGGUGAGUAACACGUGGGUAACCUGCCCAUCAGCGGGGGAUAACACUUGGAAACAGGUGCUAAUACCGCAUAAUUCCAUCUACCGCAUGGUAGAUAGAUGAAAGACGCUUUUGCGUCACUGAUGGAUGGACCCGCGGUGCAUUAGCUAGUUGGUGGGGUAACGGCCUACCAAGGCUGCGAUGCAUAGCCGACCUGAGAGGGUGAUCGGCCACACUGGGACUGAG
rnacentral:rRNA from 1 species